GCCCAGCUAGCUCAGUCAGUACAGCAUGGGACUCUUAAUCCCAGUGUCGUGGGUUUGAGCCCCGCAUUGGGUG
rnacentral:tRNA from 1 species